UACGAAGGGGGCAAGCGUUGUUCGGAUUUACUGGGCGUAAAGCGUACGUAGGCGGAUAAUUAAGUCAGGGGUGAAAUCCCGAGGCUCAACCUCGGAACUGCCUUUGAUACUGGUUAUCUUGAGUCCGGGAGAGGUGAGUGGAACUCCUAGUGUAGAGGUGAAAUUCGUAGAUAUUAGGAAGAACACCAGUGGCGAAGGCGGCUCACUGGCCCGGAACUGACGCUGAGGUACGAAAGCGUGGGGAGCAAACAGG
rnacentral:rRNA from 1 species